GCGGCCCCAGGAGGAGGACGACGACGCGGGAAGUGGGAGCGCCCUUCUCCCGGCCGAGGGGACGAAUUCUUCCGUUCCCGCCUCAGGUUGAGGCGGCGAAGGCGAAGGAAUGGAGAAUAUUCUACCUUCAGAGAAAGGAGGGCUCAAGGAAAAGGACUCCACCAAUUUUGGUCCCAAGAUGCCCAUCUUUUCCCAGCCACCACUCAAAACAUUCUGUGGACAGAAGAUCGUAUCCCAAAGCAGGUUGCAUCCUUUGCUGUUGAGCAAAGGCG